UUUAUGGAGAGUUUGAUCCUGGCUCAGGAUGAACGCUGGCGGCGUGCCUAAUACAUGCAAGUCGAGCGAACAGACAAGGAGCUUGCUCCUUUGACGUUAGCGGCGGACGGGUGAGUAACACGUGGGUAACCUACCUAUAAGACUGGGAUAACUUCGGGAAACCGGAGCUAAUACCGGAUAAUAUUUCGAACCGCAUGGUUCGAUAGUGAAAGAUGGUUUUGCUAUCACUUAUAGAUGGACCCGCGCCGUAUUAGCUAGUUGGUAAGGUAACGGCUUACCAAGGCGACGAUACGUAGCCGACCUGAGAGGGUGAUCGGCCACACUGGAACUGAGACACGGUCCAGACUCCUACGGGAGGCAGCAGUAGGGAAUCUUCCGCAAUGGGCGAAAGCCUGACGGAGCAACGCCGCGUGAGUGAUGAAGGUCUUCGGAUCGUAAAACUCUGUUAUUAGGGAAGAACAUAC
rnacentral:rRNA from 1 species